AUGGCAUGGUUCGCAUCACCGGUCGUUCUUGGCGCCGUCUAUGUAGCUGCCUUGGCGUUCCGCCUCGUUCCUCACUUGGCUGUGUGCCUCCGGCGUCCCAAGGACCUCCGGCGCAGCUACGGCACGUGGGCCGUCACCACGGGGCCAACAUCCGGCAUUGGCUGGUCCCUGGCCGUGGAGCUCGCGCGCAGUGGGCUGAACCUUGUCCUCAUCGGCCGAGACCCGGCCAAGCUCCGGGACAUCUCCCAGACGAUAUGCAGGGCCGCUCCCACCGUGAAGACCAAGACUCUAGUCUUGGACUUGUCGCUCCUCGCCACCGCCCAUGGCGACGAGGCGAUGUGACGGCUGCAGCAGACCGUGGAGGCGCUGGACGUCGGCGUGUUGGAGCCCGGUGCGGUCUUCCUGCACGAGGCCGACAUCGAGGAGUUGGUGGAUAUGAUACGGGUGAACCUGUUGGGGCUGACAGAGGUGACAGCGGCGGUGAUUCCGGGCAUGGUGGAGCGCCGGAGGGGAGCUGUGGUCAACAUGGGCUCAGCUUCGUCAGAGGCCAUCCCCUCCUUACCCCUCUACACCAUGUACGCCGCUACUAAACGCUAUGUUGAUUAGUUCUCUAAGAGUCUUCACGUCGAAUAUAGAAGAAAAGGGAUCGAAGUGUAAUGCCAGGCACCGUUCUUUGCGGCCGGCAUGAUGGCGUCCGCCUUCGCGAGGCCAGGUGCUUGGCGCCAUUGACGCCAACGCCUGAAACCUAUGCGCACGGCAGUGCGGUGGAUCGUCCAUGGUCCGCUCUGUGUGCCCAAGUUGGGACACCGGAUUAUGUGGUUCUUUUCCGGCAUUGGGCAUGACUUUUUGCUCGACGAGAUGCAGAGGGACUGA
rnacentral:rRNA from 1 species